GACGAACGCUGGCGGCGUGCUUAACACAUGCAAGUCGAACGGAAAGGCCCUGCUUUUGUGGGGUGCUCGAGUGGCGAACGGGUGAGUAACACGUGAGUAACCUGCCCUUGACUUUGGGAUAACUUCAGGAAACUGGGGCUAAUACCGGAUAGGAGCUCCUGCUGCAUGGUGGGGGUUGGAAAGUUUCGGCGGUUGGGGAUGGACUCGCGGCUUAUCAGCUUGUUGGUUGGGUAGUGGCUUACCAAGGCUUUGACGGGUAGCCGGCCUGAGAGGGUGACCGGCCACAUGGGGACUGAGAUACGGCCCAGACUCGUACGGGAGGCAGCAGUGGGGAAUAUUGCACAAUGGGCGGAAGCCUGAUGCAGCAACGCCGCGUGCGGGAUGACGGCCUUCGGGUUGUAAACCGCUUUCGCCUGUGACGAAGCGGGAGUGACGGUAAUGGGUAAAGAAGCACCGGCUAACUACGUG
rnacentral:rRNA from 1 species